GUCCCUCGAAUCGGUCUUCUCCUAUCUCGUCGCGGCGUAAGGAGCCUUCAGCGAUGUACGACCCCACGGUCGC
rnacentral:tRNA from 1 species